GAGGCUGUGGCUCAGUGGUAGAGCACUUGCCUCACAUGUACGAGGCCCUGGGUUCGAUUCUCAGCACCACA
rnacentral:tRNA from 1 species